UACAGAGGGUGCAAGCGUUGCUCGGAUUUACUGGGCGUAAAGCGUACGCAGACGGUAAGAAAGGUCGGAUGUGAAAGCCCCGGGCUCAACCCGGGAACUGCAUCCGAAACCAUCUUGCUAGAGUAUGGGAGAGGGAAGCGGAAUUCCUGGUGUAGAGGUGAAAUUCGUAGAUAUCAGGAGGAACACCGGCGGCGAAGGCGGCUUCCUGGCCCAUUACUGACGUUCAGGUACGAAAGCGUGGGUAGCAAACAGG
rnacentral:rRNA from 1 species